CCCCUCGUUCUCGUCGGCGUCCAACUUGUCAAGGUACUUGAGUGUCCGGAUCAUCCCCAAGACCCUGGAUCUGUAGUGCCUGGCCCGCGUGACGGGGCAUUCGUAGAGGUCCAGCGAGAUGAGGCGGAGGCGCGCGAGCGAGCGGCGCCAGAUCGUCCACAUCUUAGAUGCGGAGGUCGAGGUCGCGCAGCCGUUGCCCACCUCGUCGAGGUGCUCGACCGUGGGAUCUCGUUCAAGUUCCUCAGGUCAAUUUCCACGGGAUCCCGUUCAAGCGGAAGCACUCUCCUGCGCUCCUCUGCCCCAAAUCUGCUAUUAUAUGGAGGCAGCCGUCAGCACCCAUUUCGCCCAAUAAGCUUGGAGCCGUGCACAGCUGCCGUCCUCCAGUUCAGGACUUCUGGUGUGGUGUCGACCUCACAACACUCCCGCUCAUUUGAGUCUGAAUUUCUUUGAUGGACCAUGUCCGCUCAAAGUCAGAGGUUCAUCACGAGCAUGACAUGCAGGAAUAACUACUGUUUCCAACAAGGGCGGCUCUGACCUCCCAGAUUCCUCUCAGCGGCCCAUCGUGGUGCCCGGCGAUCUUCUCACCGUCUCGAUCGCCACGGCCGCUGCCGCACCAACAUCACUACUCCCGGCUAUCUCCCCUUGGCUGAGGUCUUCGACGAUGCUGAGCCUAGGCAGCAGUCCUGGUUCAUCGGCUGGAGGACUGCCUCCACAGACUCGUGGUCCAAAGCCACAGGGUGGCCUCACAGCGCGCAGAUGGAAAUUCCCAGUUGAAGACAAGGUGGAUUCACUUUCAUUGGCCUUCACUUUCAUUGACCUUCACAGGCUAUGCGUGGCACCUGCUCCACUGUCUUCCGUGUCACCGACCUCGCCUCACCGCUCCGUCCCUGGGCUCCCUUCACGACCGGGUCCUGGCUGUGCGGAUGGAGCCGUCUAGCGUCGUCGGCACCGGAACAUCGACCACCGUAGGUGCUUCUCGAGGCAGCCGGAGGUGGGCUGCAGAUGGUCACCGCUGUCUGCGGGAUCCACUGGUAGCAUGACGCAAGUGAGACCAAUUCUUUGAUCUCCUGCACAGAUUUGUAGCUGCAGGAAUUUUGUUUGGGAAGAAAAAAUGCAUCUGAUUUUUCAUGUGUGUAAUCGAUCAGUAAAUGUUCAGAGUGUUACCCGCAAAAAAAAAAUGUUCAGAGUGUUGUGUUGCAACACAAACAAAUCUUGCAGGACAGCCGGGUUAUAUAAAAAUUCGAUCCUGUGAUAGGUACAGAAGAUGUACUAUAUUUGCUCUAGGAUUGGAGUAGCUUAAUUCAUACUGAAGCUUAAACAAAUUCGAAAUUUUAGAUUUGCUUGUAAUGAUCUAACGGGUAGAUAUGGGUGUAUUUUGUCAUCUAUUCGAGUUCUUUUCACGUCUA